rnacentral:misc_RNA from 1 species
AAAGUCGUAACAAGGUUACCGUAGAUGAAUCUGCGGUAGGAUCAUUAGGGAGGGUGUGGUACGGCGUCACCGGUAGGUGGCGGCGUUGCUCUACUUAUUCUGGUGGUGUGGGGGGAUGUUUGGGGGGGGGUUGGCAGUGUACACGUGUAUAUGGCGAUGCUUUGCAGCAUCACCCGCGUGCGCCGCUCAAUGCUCACCCCCUGACACCCCACACUACACAACACCUAUGCUAUACUCGCCUCAUACACAACAAAUAACAAACAACUUUUAACAACGGAUCUCUUGGCUCUC